rnacentral:rRNA from 1 species
UUCUCCCUUCUGACGAGCCGUGAUGUCAUUCAUUUGGUGUUACGGGGAGUCAGGACUGUUACUUUGAAAAAAUUAGAGUGUUUAAAGCAGGCAAUCGCUCGAAUACAUUAGCAUGGAAUAAUGAAAUAGGACGUUCGAACCUAUUUUGUUGGUUUCUAGGAUCGACGUAAUGAUUAAUAGGGAUAGUUGGGGGCAUUAGUACUCAAUUGUCAGAGGUGAAAUUCUUGGAUUUAUUGAAGACUAACUACUGCGAAAGCAUUUGCCAAGGAUGUUUUCAUUAAUCAAGAACGAAAGUUAGGGGAUCGAAGACGAUCAGAUACCGUCGUAGUCUUAACCAUAAACUAUGCCGACUAGGGAUCGGAUGAUGUUAAUUUUUUAAUGACUCAUUCGGCCCCUUACG